AUUGAACGCUGGCGGCAGGCCUAACACAUGCAAGUCGAACGAGUGGCGGACGGGUGAGUAAUGUCUGGGAAACUGCCCGAUGGAGGGGGAUAACUACUGGAAACGGUAGCUAAUACCGCAUACCAUCGGAUGUGCCCAGAUGGGAUUAGCUAGUAGGUGGGGUAAAGGCUCACAUAGGCGACGAUCCCUAGCUGGUCUGAGAGGAUGACCAGCAACACUGGGACUUAGACACGGCCCAGACUCCUACGGGAGGCAGCAGUGGGGAAUAUUGCACAAUGGGGGAAAGCCUGAUGCAGCCAUGCCGCGUGUAUGAAGAAGGCCUUCGGGUUGUAAAGUACUUUCAGCGGGGAGGCGUUACCCGCAGAAGAAGCACCGGCUAACUCCGUGCCAGCAGCCGCGGUAAUUC
rnacentral:rRNA from 1 species